rnacentral:rRNA from 1 species
GACGAACGCUGGCGGCGUGCUUAACACAUGCAAGUCGAACGAAGAGCGAUGGAAGCUUGCUUCUAUCAAUCUUAGUGGCGAACGGGUGAGUAACGCGUAAUCAACCUGCCCUUCAGAGGGGGACAACAGUUGGAAACGACUGCUAAUACCGCAUACGAUCUAACCUCGGCAUCGAGGAAAGAUGAAAGGUGGCCUCUAUUUAUAAGCUAUCACUGAAGGAGGGGAUUGCGUCUGAUUAGCUAGUUGGAGGGGUAACGGCCCACCAAGGCGAUGAUCAGUAGCCGGUCUGAGAGGAUGAACGGCCACAUUGGGACUGAGACACGGCCCAGACUCCUACGGGAGGCAGCAGUGGGGAAUCUUCCGCAAUGGACGAAAGUCUGACGGAGCAACGCCGCGUGAGUGAUGACGGCCUUCGGGUUGUAAAGCUCUGUUAAUCGGGACGAAAGGCCUUCUUGCGAAUAGUGAGAAGGAUUGACGGUACCGGAAUAGAAAGCCACGGCUAA